AUGUGGCUUUUGGUCUUCUUUGAAAGCUUUCAUAGUAGCCUAACAAUUGGUGUAUUGGGAAGGCACCCACAGAACCUCUCCUAGCACGUUGCGUGUCUGAUAACCCUGCUGGCUGCUUCCCGAAAUGCCAGUGCUCCCUGGGACCAGGUGCUGAAUACAGCUGCUGUAGAAAGGAUGGCUGCGGACCAGCUGAGCAUCUAAGUCUUCAAGACCAGUGGAGGAAAGGCAAUGGCAUUCAGCGAUUACUGGGGAAAUAGUGUUCACAUUCAGAACUGAAAAGAGCCUUACAUCAAGGAUCUGCAGACUGCAACUUGGAAAUCUCUAACAUCCCCCAGAAGUUUUGUGUUUAUCCAUGGAAGUAAUGCAGAAUUCAGUGCAGAGGUCAAAAGAAAGUGAAAGUCGGGGCUGUUUUCCAUGAGGAUCCAGUGAAAAAGAAUCUUUUACAGCUUCACAAUAUAAGUAUCAGUCCAUACCUGCUCGCUUGUUUGAUUGCUUUCAUUCCCAAAGAAAAAGGAAUGGGCUUAGGGGUGGA